rnacentral:tRNA from 1 species
CAUUAGAUGGCUGAAAGCAAGCAAUGGUCUCUUAAACCAAUUUAUAGUAGGUUAGCUUCUACUUCUAAUG